UUUGUUCCUUCCAUAGAGGUCAAGCUUUCAGUCAACUGACAUCUUGUGGAACCACGCCUCUGGUGAUGGACAUACGCUGAAAUAUCACUGACUUCACUCAAGUUGCCAUGGAGAUGAUUGAAGGAAGAUUGAUCACUGGGGAGUCUGGAGAUAAGGUCAUGAGCAUCACUAGCAAUGCUGCUAUGUAUUGCCCAACCCUUGUGGCUCCGAAAACAUGCUGCUGAGCCUUGUUCAAAUAAGUGACUUAAGAGGUCAGUGAAGGCUCAACCAUGUUGGUGUAGAGUCACAUAUAGGCCAGGCCAUCUAAGAACAAGAGGUAUCCUUCCCUAAAGGACGAACUUGCUUUUUAGAACAACUUCACAAUCAAUUUUUAUUUCCAGAUUGAGUUCAAAUUCUCAAACUACUAUGGUGGGAUUCUGACUCAUGUUCUCUCAAUUAUUAGUCCAGGUUGUUAACUAGUCUAGUAAUUAAACCGCUGAGCUACUGGUCCUAA